CUGUUAACUCUCAACAGACUUACACAUGCAAGCAUCCACGCCCCGGUGAGUAACGCCCUCCAAAUCAAUAAGACUAAGAGGAGCAGGUAUCAAGCACACAUCUUGUAGCUUACAACGCCUCGCUUAACCACACCCCUACGGGAGACAGCAGUGACAAAAAUUAAGCCAUAAACGAAAGUUUGACUAAGCCAUGUUGACCAGGGUUGGUAAAUCUCGUGCCAGCCACCGCGGUCAUACGAUUAACCC
rnacentral:rRNA from 1 species